rnacentral:rRNA from 1 species
ACGGGUGAGUAACACGUAGGCAACCUGCCCUCAAGUUUGGGACAACUACCGGAAACGGUAGCUAAUACCGAAUAGUUGUUUUCUUCGCCUGAAGGAAACUGGAAAGACGGAGCAAUCUGUCACUUGGGGAUGGGCCUGCGGCGCAUUAGCUAGUUGGUGGGGUAACGGCUCACCAAGGCGACGAUGCGUAGCCGACCUGAGAGGGUGAUCGGCCACACUGGGACUGAGACACGGCCCAGACUCCUACGGGAGGCAGCAGUAGGGAAUCUUCCGCAAUGGGCGAAAGCCUGACGGAGCAAUGCCGCGUGAGUGAUGAAGGUUUUCGGAUCGUAAAGCUCUGUUGCCAGGGAAGAACGCUUGGGAGAGUAACUGCUCUCAAGGUGACGGUACCUGAGAAGAAAGCCCCGGCUAACUACGUGCCAGCAGCCGCGGUAAUACGUAGGGGGCAAGCGUUGUCCGGAAUUAUUGGGCGUAAAGCGCGCGCAGGCGGUCAUUUAAGUCUGGUGUUUAAUCCCGGGGCUCAACCCCGGAUCGCACUGGAAACUGGGUGACUUGAGCGCAGAAGAGGAGAGUAGAAUUC